CAAAUUUUAUGGAGUACACAUAUAAGCCAGCUACAGGAUUUGGGUAGAAAGGUGGCUCCAGGGCAGAAGAAAUAGACCUAUUAAAUAGAAUAUAGCCUAUACAGAUGGAUCACAGGAUCCAGUUCAGGGAGAACUGGGGCAGUCAUCAUCAUCCUUCGACUGCCGUCAAGAUCUCAGAUGCCACGCUUUUCCACCGGGUCUUAUCGGUCAUUGCUGCUCCCAGUUCUUGGAACAAGGCCCAACCACUGCAGGCGUAACCUAGUUAACCUGAUUAGCAUCCCACCUGAAUGUACCAGCAAGGCUCUGCGGUUUCUCAGGAAAAGAACAACCUCCUUAAUCCUCACCAGUCCAGUUUUUGAACUGGGCACUCAACUGAGACUGCUUUUCUGGCUGUGAUGGAGGCACUCGCCACUGCAAUAACCUCAUCACUCUCCUGAUCUUCUUAAACCUCUCUGCAGCAUUCAACAUGGUUAUGAGAAAAGCUGCCUGCCUGGUUGACAUCUCUACAUAGACGACCAGUGGUUUCCGCUCACUCUGCAAAGAACAUGGGCGUGGUCCUGGAUGAUCAGCUGGACUUCAAGGAGCACAUCACAGCAACAUCAUGA